GGAGGCUAUAUACAGGGGGUACUGGUACAGAGUCAAUGUGGAGGCUAUAUACAGGGGUACUGGUACAGAGUCAAUGUGGAGGCUAUAUACAGGGGGUACUGGUACAGAGUCAAUGUGGAGGCUAUAUACAGGGGGUACUGGUACAGAGUCAAUGUGGAGACUAUAUACAGGGGGUACUGGUACAGAGUCAAUGUGGAGGCUAUAUACAGGGGUACCGGUACAGAGACAAUGUGGAGGCUAUAUACAGGGGGUACCGGUACAGAGUCAAUGUGGAGACUAUAUACAGGGGGUACUGGUACAGAGUCAAUGUGGAGGCUAUAUACAGGGGGUACCGGUACAGAGUCAAUGUGGAGACUAUAUACAGGGGGUACCGGUACAGAGUCAAUGUGGAGGCUAUAUACAGGGGGUACCGGUACAGAGUCAAUGUGGAGACUAUAUACAGGGG
ensembl:lncRNA